GAUGAACGCUAGCUACAGGCUUAACACAUGCAAGUCGAGGGGCAGCAUGAACUUAGCUUGCUAAGUUUGAUGGCGACCGGCGCACGGGUGAGUAACACGUAUCCAACCUGCCGAUGACUCGGGGAUAGCCUUUCGAAAGAAAGAUUAAUACCCGAUGGCAUAGUUCUUCCGCAUGGUAGAACUAUUAAAGGAUUUCGGUCAUCGAUGGGGAUGCGUUCCAUUAGGUUGUUGGCGGGGUAACGGCCCACCAAGCCUUCGAUGGAUAGGGGUUCUGAGAGGAAGGUCCCCCACAUUGGAACUGAGGCACGGUCCAAACUCCUACGGGAGGCAGCAGUGAGGAAUAUUGGUCAAUGGACGAGAGUCUGAACCAGCCAAGUAGCGUGAAGGAUGACUGCCCUAUGGGUUGUAAACUUCUUUUAUACGGGAAUAAAGUGAGGCACGUGUGCCUUUUUGUAUGUACCGUAUGAAUAAGGAUCGGCUAACUCCGUGCCAGCAGCCGCGGU
rnacentral:rRNA from 1 species